CUGUGGCAGGCUUUUUGCUCAUAGAAUAGCUGUCACGAAUGAGGAGCAGACAUUUUGCAGUGCAGCAGUGUGGUUUCAACAAUUUACAUUCCCUGGUUGGUGAAGAAUUUGAAGUUCUACUUUACACAAAAUGA
rnacentral:lncRNA from 1 species